AUAGUAUUUAUGUUGGGGUUUAAACUGUGUUAUUCAUGGUUAGAGUUAUAGUAUUUAUGUUGGGGUUUAAACUGUGUUAUUCAUGGUUAGAGUUAUAGUAUUUAUGUUGGGGUUUAAACUGUGUUAUUCAUGGUUAGAGUUAUAGUAUUUAUGUUGGGGUUUAAACUGUGUUAUUCAUGGUUAGAGUUAUAGUAUUUAUGUUGGGGUUUAAACUGUGUUAUUCAUGGUUAGAGUUAUAGUAUUUAUGUUGGGGUUUAAACUGUGUUAUUCAUGGUUAGAGUUAUAGUAUUUAUGUUGGGGUUUAAACUGUGUUAUUCAUGGUUAGAGUUAUAGUAUUUAUGUUGGGGUUUAAACUGUGUUAUUCAUGGUUAGAGUUAUAGUAUUUAUGUUGGGGUUUAAACUGUGUUAUUCAUGGUUAGAGUUAUAGUAUUUAUGUAAGGAUUUAAACUGUGUUAUUCAUGGUUAGAGUUAUAGUAUUUAUGUUGAGGUUUAAACUGUGUUAUUCAUGGUUAGGGUUAUAGUAUUUAUG